CUAGGAGGGCAGGGCCAAGAUGGCUGACUAGAAGCAGCCUCUGACCAUCAGAGGCUCCCAUUGAAAAGAACCAUAAUACUGUGUGAAUCCCGCACUGUCAACCAAGGUAUCCAGGUUCUCCCAACAGGAAUGAUUAGGCAGACUUAGCCUUUCCUCCUCGUAGUUCUGAGGAAUCCAGGCAGCCCAGACAAGUGGGUUCCCUCCAGAGAAACACACUCCCUCCACCAAGGGACAGUCAAAGUGCUUCGUUAAAUAGGUCCUGUUCCCUAUGCCACCUGACCGGGUGAGACCCUCCAACAGGAGUUGUCAGACACCCUAUACAGGAACAAUCCUACUGGCAUCAGAUUGGUGCCUCUCAAGGUCAGAGAUUCCAGAAGAAGGGGAAGGCACCCAUCUUUGCUCUUCUCCAGCCUCGAGUGACAUCUCCAGGUGUGGGAGCAAAUCAGACGAAUAGGGCCUGAAGUGAACCCCCUGCAAAUUUUGGCAGCCCUACAGAAGAGGGACCUGACCAUUGAAAGGAAAACAAACAAACAGAAAGCAAUAACAACAGCAUCAUCAACAACAAAAACGUCCCCACAAAAAACCCAUCCAAGAGUCAUCAGUCCUAAAGAUCGAAACUGACAAACUCAUGAAGAUGAGAAUCAAUGAAAAACUGCUGAAAACCCAAAAGACUCUUCACCUCCAAAAGAUCUCAGUACCUGGCCAGCAAGGGCACAGAACUGGAUGGAGGAUGAGAUGGAUGAAUUGACAGAAGCAGGCUUCAGAAGAUGGGUAAUUAAAAACUCCACUGAACUAAAAGAGCAUGUUCUAUCCCAAUGAAAACAAGCUAAGAACUUUGAUAAAAUGUAAGAGGAGCUGCUAACUGGAAUAACCACUUUAGAGAGGAACAUAAAUGACUUCUUGGAGCUGAAAAACACAGCACAAGAAUUUUGUGAAGCAUACACAAGUAUCAAUAGCUGAACUGAACAAGCAGAAGAAAGGAUAGCAGAGUUUGAAGACCACCUUGCCAAAAUAAGGCAUGCAGACAAGAUUAGAAAAA
rnacentral:lncRNA from 1 species